GGGCACGCAGGCGGUGACUUAAGUGAGAUGUGAAAGCCCCGGGCUUAACUUGGGAAUUGCAUUUCAUACUGGGUCGCUAGAGUACUUUAGGGAGGGGUAGAAUUCCACGUGUAGCGGUGAAAUGCGUAGAGAUGUGGAGGAAUACCGAAGGCGAAGGCAGCCCCUUGGGAAUGUACUGACGCUCAUGUGCGAAAGCGUGGGGAGCAAACAGGAUUAGAUACCCUGGUAGUCCACGCUGUAAACGAUGUCGAUUUGGGGAUUGGGCUUUGAGCUUGGUGCCCGUAGCUAACGUGAUAAAUCGACCGCCUGGGGAGUACGGCCGCAAGGUUAAAACUCAAAUGAAUUGACGGGGGCCCGCACAAGCGGUGGAGCAUGUGGUUUAAUUCGAUGCAACGCGAAGAACCUUACCUACUCUUGACAUCCAGAGAAUUCGCUAGAGAUAG
rnacentral:rRNA from 1 species